rnacentral:rRNA from 1 species
UCAGGAUGAACGCUGGCGGCGUGCCUAACACAUGCAAGUCGAACGGGACUAUCAAGUGAUGUUUCGGACUGAACUUUUAGUUAGUGGCGGACGGGUGAGUAACGCGUGGACAACCUGCCUCUCACUGGGGGAUAGCAGCUGGAAACGGCUGGUAAUACCGCAUGCGUUCAAUGUGCCGCAUGACACAUUGAAGAAAGAUUUAUCGGUGAGAGAUGGGUCCGCGUCUGAUUAGCCAGUUGGCGGGGUAACGGCCCACCAAAGCGACGAUCAGUAGCCGGCCUGAGAGGGCGGACGGCCACAUUGGGACUGAGACACGGCCCAGACUCCUACGGGAGGCAGCAGUGGGGGAUAUUGCACAAUGGGCGCAAGCCUGAUGCAGCGACGCCCGCGUGAGUGAAGAAGUAUUUCGGUAUGUAAAGCUCUAUCAGCAGGGAAGAAAGGCCCGCAAGGGAGAUGACGGUACCUGACUAAGAAGCCCCGGCUAACUACGUGCCAGCAGCGGC